rnacentral:rRNA from 1 species
GAUGAACGCUGGCGGCGUGCCUAAUACAUGCAAGUCGAGCGAACGGACGAGAAUCUUGCUUUUCUGAUGUUAGCGGCGGACGGGUGAGUAACACGUGGAUAACCUACCUAUAAGACUGGGAUAACUUCGGGAAACCGGAGCUAAUACCGGAUAAUAUUUUGAACCGCAUGGUUCAAAAGUGAAAGACGGUCUUGCUGUCACUUAUAGAUGGAUCCGCGCUGCAUUAGCUAGUUGGUAAGGUAACGGCUUACCAAGGCAACGAUGCAUAGCCGACCUGAGAGGGUGAUCGGCCACACUGGAACUGAGACACGGUCCAGACUCCUAAGGGAGGCAGCAGUAGGGAAUCUUCCGCAAUGGGCGAAAGCCUGACGGGGCAACGCCGCGUGAGUGAUGAAGGUCUUCGGAUCGUAAAACUCUGUUAUUAGGGAAGAACAUAUGUGUAAGUAACUGUGCACAUCUUGACGGUACCUAAUCAGAAAGCCACGGCUAACUACGUG